rnacentral:rRNA from 1 species
ACGGGGUGCAGCAGGCGCGAAACCUCCGCAAUACACGAAAGUGUGACGGGGUUACCCAAAGUGUUCUAUUUAGAACUGUGGUAGGUGAGUAAUGUCCCCUACUAGAAAGGAGAGGGCAAGGCUGGUGCCAGCCGCCGCGGUAAAACCAGCUCUUCAAGUGGUCGGGAUAAUUAUUGGGCUUAAAGUGUCCGUAGCCGGUUUAGUAAGUUCCUGGUAAAAUCGGGUAGCUUAACUAUCUAUAUGCUAGGAAUACUGCUAUACUAGAGGGCGGGAGAGGUCUGAGGUACUACAGGGGUAGGGGUGAAAUCUUAUAAUCCUUGUAGGACCACCAGUGGCGAAGGCGUCAGACUGGAACGCGCCUGACGGUGAGGGACGAAAGCCAGGGGAGCGAACCGGAUUAGAUACCCGGGUAGUCCUGGCCGUAAACGAUGCAUACUAGGUGAUGGCACGGCCAUGAGCCGUGUCAGUGCCGUAGGAAACCGUUAAGUGUGCCGCCUGGAAGUACGUCGCAAG